rnacentral:rRNA from 1 species
AUUGAACGCUGGCGGCAUGCCUAACACAUGCAAGUCGAACGGCAGCACAAUAAAGAUUUCGGUCUUUAUGGGUGGCGAGUGGCGGACGGGUGAGUAACGCGUAGGAAUCUGUCCUGGAGAGUGGGAUAACCCGAGGAAACUCGGGCUAAUACUGCAUGACAUUGAGAGAUCAAAAGCAGGGGACCGAAAGGCCUUGCGCUCUGGGGUGAGCCUACGUCGGCUUAGCUAGUUGGUGGGGUAAAGGCCUACCAAGGCGACGAUCCGUAGCUGGUCUGAGAGGAUGACCAGCCACACUGGGGCUGUGACACGGCCCAGACUCCUACGGGAGGCAGCAGUGGGGAAUCUUGGACAAUGGGGGAAACCCUGAUCCAGCGAUGCCGCGUGUGUGAAGAAGGCCUUCGGGUUGUAAAGCACUUUAGGUGGGGAAGAAAGGUAGCGAGUGAAUAACUUUCUGCUGUGACGGUACCCACAGAAUAAGCACCGGCUAACUCUGUGCCAGCCGCCGCGGUAA